CCUACGGGGGGCAGCAGUCGAGAAUCAUUCACAAUGGGGGAAACCCUGAUGGUGCGACGCCGCGUGGGGGAAUGAAGGUCUUCGGAUUGUAAACCCCUGUCAUGUGGGAGCAAAUUAAAAAGAUAGUACCACAAGAGGAAGAGACGGCUAACUCUGUGCCAGCAGCCGCGGUAAUACAGAGGUCUCAAGCGUUGUUCGGAAUCACUGGGCGUAAGGCGUGCGUAGGCUGUUUCGUAAGUCGUGUGUGAAAGGCGCGGGCUCAACCCGCGGACGGCACAUGAUACUGCGAGACUAGAGUAAUGGAGGGGGAACCGGAAUUCUCGGUGUAGCAGUGAAAUGCGUAGAUAUCGAGAGGAACACUCGUGGCGAAGGCGGGUUCCUGGACAUUAACUGACGCUGAGGCACGGAGGCCAGGGGAGCGAAAGGGAUUAGAUACCCGUGUAGUC
rnacentral:rRNA from 1 species